GGUGUCGAGGCGGUCAUGUUAGUCGUUCGUUAAAUCUGGGGGCUCAACCUCCAGCCUGCGAGCGAAACGGCAUGACUUGAGGGUGGGAGAGGUGCGUGGAACUCACGGUGUAGGGGUGAAAUCCGUUGAUAUCGUGGGGAACACCAAAGGCGAAGGCAGCGCACUGGCCCAUUCCUGACGCUCACACACGAAAGCCAGGGUAGCGAACGGGAUUAGAUACCCCGGUAGUCCUGGCCCUAAACGUUGCUCGCUCGUUCUACGGAGUAUCGACCCUCUGUGGGACUAAGCUAACGCGGUAAGCGAGCCGCCUGGGUAGUACGAUCGCAAGAUUAAAACUCAAAGGAAUAGACGGGGACUCGCACAAGCGGUGGAUCAUGUGGCUUAAUUCGUCGGUAAGCGAAGAACCUUACCCAGGCUAGAAAUCCAACUGCAUCCCACCCGAAAGGGAGGGAGCCUUCGAGGGUGUUGGACAGGUGAUGCAUGGUUGUCGUCAGUUCGUGGCUUGAGCUGUUCCCUUCAGUGGGGUAACGAACGCAACCCACGUUGUCUGUUAUAUAUGUCAGGCGAGACUGCCCCCUCACGGGGGGAGGAAGGUGUGGAUGACGCCAAAUCAGCAUGUCCCUUUGAUGCCUGGGGGCUGCACACGUGAUACAAUGGUCGGUACAGAAAGGACGCAAUACCGGUAAAGGUGGAGCAAAUCCCCCAAAA
rnacentral:rRNA from 1 species